rnacentral:rRNA from 1 species
AUUGAACGCUGGCGGCAUGCCUUACACAUGCAAGUCGAACGGCAGCACGGGAGCAAUCCUGGUGGCGAGUGGCGAACGGGUGAGUAAAGCAUCGGAACGUGCCCAGUCGUGGGGGAUAACGUAGCGAAAGUUACGCUAAUACCGCAUACGAUCUGUGGAUGAAAGCGGGGGACCGUAAGGCCUCGCGCGAUUGGAGCGGCCGAUGUCAGCUUAGGUAGUUGGUGGGGUAAAGGCCCACCAAGCCGACGAUCUGUAGCUGGUCUGAGAGGACGACGAGCCACACGGGGACUGAGACACGGCCCAGAGUCCUACGGGAGGCAGCAGUGGGGAAUUUUGGACAAUGGGCGCAAGCCUGAUCCAGCAAUGCCGCGUGCAGGAUGAAGGCCUUCGGGUUGUAAACUGCUUUUGUACGGAACGAAACGGCGCUCUCUAAUACAGGGUGUUAAUGACGGUACCGUAAGAAUAAGCACCGGCUAACUACGUGCCAGCCGCCGCUGUAAGAC